GAUGAACGCUAGCGAAAUGCCUAACACAUGCAAGUCGAACGGUCUUGCGUCGUAGCAAUACGUAGUAAGAUUAGUGGCAAACGAGCGAGUAACGCGUGCUUAACUUGCCCCGAAGAUGGGUAUAACUGCAGAGAUGUAGCUAAUUCCCAAUAUGCUCACGAUGGUGAAAUUCCAAUGUGAGGAAAGAUUUAUCGCUUCGGGAGAGUGGUGCGUCCUAUCAGGUAGUUGGUAAGGUAACGGCUUACCAAGCCUAUGACGGGUAACCGGUCUGAGAUGAUGUCCGGUCGCGAUGGGACUGAGAUACGGCCCAUACUCCUACGGGAGGCAGCAGUGGGGAAUCUUGCACAAUGGACGAAAGUCUGAUGCAGCAAUUUCGCGUGAAGGAUGAAGCAUUACGGUGUGUAAACUUCUUUUUUGGCAGAAGACGAAUGACGGUAUGUCGAGAAUAAGAGACGGCUAACUACGUGCCAGCAGCCGCGGUAAUACGUAGGUCUCAAGCGUUGUUCGGAUUUACUGGGCGUAAAGUGUCCGUAGUCUGAAUUGUAAGUCUGUUUUCAAAUCCUACGACUCAAUCGUAGAAAGGGAGUGGAUACUGCAAUUCUAGAAGUAUCUGGGGGUUAGUGGAAUUUCCGGUGGAGCGGUGAAAUGCGUUGAUAUCGGAAGGAACGCCGAAAGCGAAAGCAGCUAACUACAGAAUACUUGACGAUGAGGGACGACAGUUGGGUAGCAAACAGGAUUAGAUACCCUGGUAGUCCGAACCGUAAAUUAUGCUUGCUAGAUGUUUUUGUCAAUUUAUUGGCGAGUGUCGUAAUCUAACGAGUUAAGCAAGUCGCCUGGGUAGUAUAUUCGCAAGAAUGAAACUCAAAGGGAUAGGCGGGGGAACACACAAGCAGUGGAUUAUCUAGAUUAAUUGGAUAAUAAGCCAAGAAUCUUACCUAGGAUUGACAUGUAUUGUGUCUGCGGUGAAAGUCGCAUAUCCGUAGCAAUACGGAGCUUUACACAGAUGGUGCAUGGU
rnacentral:rRNA from 1 species